UACGGAGGGUGCAAGCGUUAUCCGGAUUCACUGGGUUUAAAGGGUGCGUAGGCGGACAGGUAAGUCAGUGGUGAAAUCUCUGGGCUUAACCCAGAAACUGCCGUUGAUACUAUUUGUCUUGAAUAUCCUGGAGGUAGGCGGAAUAUGUCAUGUAGCGGUGAAAUGCUUAGAUAUGACAUAGAACACCGAUAGCGAAGGCAGCUUAACUACAGGAUGAUUGACGCUGAGGCACGAAAGCGUGGGGAGCAAACAGG
rnacentral:rRNA from 1 species